rnacentral:rRNA from 1 species
CGCGUAGGCGGCCUUCUAAGUCGAACGUGAAAUCCCCGGGCUCAACCCGGGAACUGCGUCCGAGACUGGAAGGCUUGAAUCCGGGAGAGGGAUGUGGAAUUCCAGGUGUAGCGGUGAAAUGCGUAGAUAUCUGGAGGAACAUCGGUGGCGAAGGCGGCAUCCUGGACCGGCAUUGACGCUGAGGCGCGAAAGCUAGGGGAGCAAACGG